GCAUAUCAAUAAGCGGAGGAAAAGAAACUAACAAGGAUUCCCCUAGUAACGGCGAGCGAAGCGGGAAGAGCUCAAAUUUGAAAGCUGGCGUCUUCGGCGUCCGCGUUGUAAUCUCGAGACGUGUUUUCCGUGCGGCUCUAUGGACAAGUCCCUUGGAACAGGGCAUCGUAGAGGGUGAAAAUCCCGUACUUGCCAUGGAAGUACCGUGCUUUGUGAUACACGCUCCAAGAGUCGAGUAGUUUGGGAUUGCUGCUCAAAGUGGGUGGUAGACUCCAUCUAAAGCUAAAUAUCGGGGAGAGACCGAUAGCGAACAAGUACCGUGAGGGAAAGAUGAAAAGCACUUUGGAAAGAGAGUUAAAAGUACGUGAAAUUGUCGAAAGGGAAGCACUUGAAGUCAGCCAUGCUGCUUGAGACUCAGCCUGGCUUUUGCUUGGUGUAUUUCUCGGUAGCAAGCCAGCAUUGGUUUGUGUCGUCGGAGAAGCGYAUGGGGAAUGUGGCAUCCUCGGAUGUGUUAUAGCCCUGUGCAGGAUACGACGACGUAGACCAAGGAACGCAGUGUGCCC
rnacentral:rRNA from 1 species